rnacentral:misc_RNA from 1 species
GAAAUGCGAUAAGUAAUGUGAAUUGCAGAAUUCAGUGAAUCAUCGAAUCUUUGAACGCACCUUGCGCUCCUUGGUAUUCCUUGGAGCAUGCCUGUUUGAGUAUCAUGAAAUCUUCAAAGUAAAUCUUUUGUUAACUCAAUUGGUUUCUACUUUGGUAUUGUAGGUCUUUGCAGCUUCACACCUGCUCCUCUUUGUUCAUUAGCUGGAUCUCAGUGUUAUGCUUGGUUCCACUCGGCGUGAUAAGUUAUCUAUCGCUGAGGACACUGUAAAAGGUGGCCAAGGUAAAUGCAGAUGAACCGCUUCUAAUAGUCCAUUGACUUGGACAAUACUUUUAUGAUCUGAUCUCAAAUCAGGUAGGUCUACCCGCUGAACUUAAGC